UUAUUAGUCAACUCCCAACAUCUAUACUAGUUUGACAAGCAUUUAAGAAAAUCAAUAAAACCAGCGAGCCAUUGAAACAUGCCCCAACUGAGUCAUACUCAGUUAUCAAAUAUAAACAAUUCCGUGAAACAAAUAUUAGACAUCACGUCCUCAGAACAUGAGGACUCACCAUAACAAAGGAUGUAGAACAGCGUGCCUGAAGAAUCACUAUCGAACCUGGAACUGAGCAGCUGAACCUAUAUUCUGAGAAAAUGCUGCCCACAUUCAAAGAUGUGGGUCAGUACCAUAGAAAAGAACCGAGUAUAUGGGGGUGCUUACAGUUGUAUAAACAUUAUCAUCAUAAAUAUUUAUAAGAAAUAUGCAAGAUGUAUGAAAGACUCACAUAGCCCAAAGAAAAUCAUCAUAAUCAUGAGAGGAUGAAAUAAGUACAAUAACACAUGUGAGUCAUCAUAUAAUUUGUCAAUCACUUUCAGUUCAUCAAGAAUAUCAAUUCUCAUAAUGUAAAUAUCAUUUAAAUCUUUCAAAAGAAUAACUUUCACAAUUCCACUUUCAAAUCACUUCACCAUUCACCAUAGACACAAGGAAACACACACACACUAGGAGAUUCUAUAACCGACAUAAACCAUGUGAGCUACAUGGAGUCCAACAUACAACCCACGUUGGGGAGAGNNNNNNNNNNNNNNNNNNNNNNNNNNNNNNNNNUUCUAGGGAAGUAAGGUCGCUUUAUACCUCCCACUCGGUGCUAAAGAUUUCUCCCAGACAUAGCUCAGAUUAUUUCAAAGACAAUCCACGACAAAAUAAUUUCAGUAAUAUAUAAAUAUACAUUGGGAGCCAUCAUGCUUCCCAUCUAUCAAAAUCAACCACGUUGUGGAUUUCUUUCACACUCGAGUUCAAAAUAACUCCAUUAAGACCAAAAGGUCAAAUCAUUCAAAAUAUCUCAAAUAUUCAACAUCAACGUGCUUAUAACACACACUUUCUCAAAAAAACACAAUUUCCAAUGGGGAUUCACGACCCAAAUAUCAAAAUCAUGAUAAAUAUCGUUCAAGAUUCAUGCUUUAUAUCUCCACACAUGUAAAUUCAUCUUUUAAAAUCAUAAACAUCAAGAUUUCAUAAUAAUCAUCAUAAGAUAUGGGUUCAUGCUUCAAAUUCGUAAAAUUCAAAUAAAAAUCAUGCCUUUGUAAAGAAAAUUACAUUUGGGCACAAGAACGAAAAAGAGUUCUUGUUGAAAAACCCUACAUACCUUGAAUGAUGAACUUUAGAUCGAUACUCGUUUUUGAGAUGUUAAUCGUGCCUUUGAAUGAUGGUUCUUGGAGUUCUUGAACUAGGAACUUGGAAUCGUAAAUAAAUUUGCAGAAUUAAUGAUGAACUUUGGAGGUUCUUGAAGUUCUUGAACUAGGAACUUGAAAUCUUGAAUAAAUUUGCAGAAUUAAUGGUGAACUUUUGAGGUUCUUGAAGUUGGAUGUAGGAGCUUAGGGUUUUAUUUUUGAGGGAAUUUGAUGAAAUAUAACAUAUAAUGCUUCUAAUAGGCUUUACUAUAGGGUUUGGACGGAUUUUGGGUGAGGGGGAAUGACCAAAACGCUCCUAAAAAUCAAAUAAUUCUCGAAUCUGUCAUUUGGUAAACUGUUUUAAUAGUCUAAAGUAGAUCAACCAUAACAUUUUAUUUCGAUAUCCUAAUUGGAUGAAACCAAUUUCAUUAGAAAGAGGACUCUCAUAUCUUUCCAUUGAUAUAUAGUAUCUCACCUAAAUCAUUGUGUACAAGGAGUUAUGAUCAUUUGCAGCUGAUCAAAAAAUUCGCUUUUAAUAGGCUGAAGUAGAUUGACCAUAACUUUUUGCUCCGAAGGAAAAAUUGGAUGAAACUAAUUUCAUUAGAAAGAGGACUCACAGAGCUUUCCGUUGAUAUAUUGUAGAUUACCCAGAUCAUUAUGUACAAGGAUUUAUGAUCGUUUAAAGUAGGAGCAAAAAUAUGUCAGGUCUCAGUACUUUUUCCUGCACGUUUUACUGUUCAGUACUAUUCACGGUUCGAUUGGAAUAUUCAUAACUCGUCGCUUGGGUGUCCGUUUAGGAUGAUCCAUAUAUUGUUGGAAAGCUUAUUCAAUACUCUACGGAAUGGUGGGUCAUAAUCUAAGAUAUUCUGCAUGAAAAAUUUAUAAUUCAUUCUAGAAGAUAGAACCCCUCACAUUUACACACAAAAUUUCAAUGAAAAAUUUCCUGGGGUAUUACACAAACACACUUAGUUUAUCAUGUAAUUACCAUGAGAUUAAUUGAAAAUGUAAUUGAACUUAUUAAUUCAUGUUUAAUUCGAGUUAAAUCAAUUUAGUUAUUACUAAUAUAAUGGCUUAAUAUGAAUCAAUAGAUAACUAACAUGUUUCAAAAGAUGAGUAAUCUGUUGAAAAUGACCAAACAGAUAAAGACAUUUGUUACAACAGAUUAGUCAUCUAUCGCAACAGAUUAGUGAUCUGUUGGAAAUAAUAAACAGAUAAAGUCAUAUGUUGCAACAGAUUGGUCAUAUGUUGGAAAUGACAAACAGAUAAUUUUCAACAGAUGACUCAUUUUUUGUUAUAGGUUAAAUCUAUUGCAAUAGGUUAUAAACUUAAAUGAUCAUGUAAUUACCAUGAGAUUAAUUGAAAUCGUAAUUGAACUUAUCGAUUCAUCUUUAAUUUUAAUUAAAUGAAUUUAUUUAUUACUAAUAAUAUUUUAAUUUGAAUCAUUUCAAAUAAAAUUAGUCAAUAAAUCACUCAACUUAGAACGAACACACUAAGAUGAUCGUAUAAUUAAUAUGAGAAUAAUUAAUUGCGUAAUUGAACUUAUCGAUUCAUCUUUAAUUUUAAUUAAAUGAAUUUAUUUAUUACUAAUAAUAUUUUAAUUUGAAUCAUUACAAAUAAAACUGAUUAAUUAACACUUUGCUCAAGACGAAUAUACUUAGAUGAUCAUGUAAUUACUAUGAGAUUAAUUGAAAUCGUAAUUAAAAUUAUCAAUUGAUCUUUAAUUUUAGUUAAAUCAAAUUAAUUAUUACUAAUAAUUGCUUAAUUUUAAUUAUUUCAACUAAAAUUGGUUAAUUGGUCAUUCUACUUAAGACUAAACACUUAGUUGAUCAUGUAAUUACUAUAAAAUUAAUUGAAAUUGUAAGUGAACUUACUAAUUCAUCUUUAAUUUUAGUUAAAUCAAUAUAGUUAUUUCUAAUUAUGGCCUGAUUUGAAACAUUUCAAAUAAAAUUGGUCAAUUGAUCACUCUACUCAGGACGAACACAAUUAGUUGAUCAUGUAAUUACAAUGAGAUUAAUUGAAACUAUAAUUGAACUUAUUAAUUCAUAUUUAAUUUUAGUUAAAUCAAUUUAAUUAUUACUAAUUUAAUGGCUUAAUAUGAAUCAAUAGAUGACUAACAUGUUGCAAAAUAUGAGUAAUCUAUUGAAAAUGACCAAACAGAUAAAGACAUCUGUUUUUAAUGACCAAACAGAUAAAGACAUCUGUUGAAAAUGACCAAACAAAUAUAGACUCAUGUUGCAAUAGAUGACUAACCUGUUACAAUAAAUGACUCAUCUAUUAAAAAUUAUCAAACAAAUAUAGACAUCUGUUGCAAUAGAUGACUAAGUUGUUGCAAUAUAUGACUCUUCAGUUGAAAAUUAUCAAACAUAUAGGAUAUAUGUUGAAAAAUAAUUUAAAAUACUAAAGCUCAGAUGUUUUUAAGAGAACUCAAAUGUUUGUCCCCUUGUCUAAGGUUUUGUCUUUAAUUUUAGUUAAAUCAAUUUAGUUAUUACUAAUAAUUGCUUAAUUUGAAUAAUUUCAAAUAAAAUUUAUCAAUUGAUCAUUCUAUUAAGGACGAAUACAUUAAUUGAAAUUGUAAUUGGACUUAUCAAUUCAUCUUUAGUUUAGCUAAAAUCAACUUAGUUAUUAAUAAUAAUGAAUUAAUUUGAAUAAUUUCAAAUAAAAUUGAUCGAUUGAUCACUCUCCUCAAGACGAUUACACAUAAUUGAUCAUGUAAUUACUAUGAGAUUAAUUGAAAUUGUAAGUAAACUUAGCAAUUUAUUUUUAAUUUUAGUUCUAUCAAUUUAGUCAUUACAAAUAAUGGCCUAAUUUGAUUCAUUUCAAAUAAAAUUGGUCAAUUGAUAACCCUACUCGGGACGAAUACACUUAGUUAAUCAUGUAAUUACUAUGAGAUCAAUUGAAAUUGUAAGUGAACUUACUAAUUCAUCUUUAAUUUUAGUUAAAUCAAUUUAGUUAUUACUAGUAAUAACUUAAUUUGAAUCAUUUUAAAUAAAAUUGGUUGAUUGAUCACCCUACUCGGGACGAAUACACUUAGUUAAUCAUGUAAUUACUAUGAGAUCAAUUGAAAUUGUAAGUGAACUCAUCAAUUCAUGUUUAAUUUUAGUUAAAUCAAUAUAGUUAUUACUAAUAAUGGCUUAAUUUGAAUCAUUUCAAAUAAAAUUGGUCAAUUAAUUAUUCUGCCAAGGGUGAAACACUUAAUUGAUAAUGUAAUUACUAUGAGAUUAAUCAAAAUUGUAAUUGAACUUACUAAUUCAUCUUUAAUUUUAGUUAAAUCAAUAUAGUUAUUUCUAAUAAUGAUUUAAUUUGAAUUAUUUCAAAUAAAAUAGGUCAAUUAAUGAUUCUACUUAGUACGAAACGCUUAAUUGGUUAUGUAAUUACUAUGAGAUCAAUUGAAAUUGUAAGUGAACUCAUCAAUUCAUGUUUAAUUCUAGUUAAAUCAAUAUAGUUAUUUCUAAUGAUAACUUAGUUUGAAUCAUUUCAAAUAAAAUUGGUCAAUUGAUCACUUUACUCAGGACGAACAUACUUAGUUGAUCGUGUAAUUACUAUGAGAUAACAACAACAAUGUUCAACAACAAGAAGAUGAUGAUGAUGAAGAAGAAGAGAUGAUAAUGAAGAACAAGAUGAUGAUAAUGAAGAAGAUGAUGAAUAAAGCAAUAACAACAAUAAACAACAAAAAUUAAAAAGAGAGAGAAAACUCCAAUAAAUGAGAAGAGAGAGAAAUGUGUCUUUUUUCCCUCCAUUUCUAGUUAUAUUAGGUUUUACAUUGGAUCAAAGUACAAAUUAAAAAACUUGUGGGUUAUUUUCAAACUUCUCUUACUUUCUUAAUCCUUAAUAAAGUAAUUGUCAUCUACCCUCAAUUAUUAAGACUUGUGUCACCCACACCCCAUUUUAAAACUCUUUUGUCACGUACAGUUCAAAGCCCCAAGUAAGUUUAUUUUAAUAUUAAUUAAAUUUUUACAAUUUAUUUCUAAAGAGCAACAUGAAUAGCUAAAAUUUAUACUUAUGUCUCCUUGUGGACCAUUUAGAAUGUUACCCAAAGGAUAUUCUAGAAAUGAUGAAUGUGUCUGGCCUUACAAGAUGAAAAUUGCAAGUCAUCUCUGGGUACGUCUUUACAAAAAUUGAAGUGAUAAAUUAUGUAACUUUUGAAUGCAUUUACUGCAGUUAUUUUGCAAAAAGAAAUUAUGUUAUAAAAGUUAUUUUCUCAAAUUUUUAUUUUACAAAAUGUUUUGGUUGAAACUAUAUUUUAUCAAACACUUGACUGAGAAGUUAUUCUUUCUACAACUAUUUAAUUUUAAAAUUUUAUAUCUAUAGCAAAAGAGAAAAUUAAUCUUAUAUUACUUUCACCAAUAAAUAUUUCAACAUUAUUCAACCUUUAGUUUUGGAAAGCCUUAUCAAAACACAGUAAUUAAAAGGAUUAGAGGUGGACUUUGUUUAAUGAUAAAAGUUAAUUAAUCAUUAUUAAUUUCUAUAUUUUUGUAGUGCCAAUUCAAUGAAAUAACAUUAUUUUCAAUCUUUAAUUUAAAUUAUUUCAAAAGACUAUUUUUGUUCAUUAAUCAUCAAAAAUAUUUUUCAUUAAAAAUGACUCUGUAGUUCAUAUGAUAAUUAAAUAUAUUUAUGAUCUAACUCUUUUUUUUCUUCUAACAUCUCUCAAAAAUUUUGCAGCAAUAUCAAUUGAAAAGCGCAUGAUGAUCAGCACAAAAAUUCCUAAGUGAUUCUCAAUAAAGUAGUAUUAGAAAAUUUGGGACAAUGUUCUAUUUCUCCUACUUGACUAUUUGCAAGUUUUGUUCUAGUUGAAUGAUUGGUUGUUUUUUUUUUUAUAAACUGUUGGGUUUUUAAAGUAUUUUAAUAUUAAAUUUGCUAUUGAAAUGUUGCAUGUUGAAGUGCAUUGAAAAGCUGCAUACUGGAGUAUCUUUUGAUCUUUACCUCUCACAUUUCAUUAUGGUAAAAAUGGUCUUUUGAUGACUCCUCUUCCAUGUUUAAUUGUGUAAGAAUGCAUGUGGCCUUUUUCUUUGAUAACUUUUGUUACAUCUCACUAAUUAUUCACUUAUUGUUCUACCUCUUUAUGUUUUAUAACUCAGGUAACUUAUAAAUAUUCAUCUACUCUCAUCGAACCCAUUUGUUUGUGCCUCUUUCAUUUUUUAGUUGGGAUCGAAAAAGACACCUUUCUGUCUUUAGUGAUAAUUUAGCUUCAAACUUAUCAUUUUACCCUUAAAUAGUGGAUUUAUAUCCACACAAAUAUCAACCGUUUAUUUCAGACAAUAAAUUUCAAAAGUAUUUCUUUCAUUCGUCGGGACCAGUUAAACACCUUUACAUAAGUUGGGACAGCUGAAGUAAUUGUGAUUAGGAUCCCCUCCAGUAUCUGUUUCCUCCUGAUGCUCUAAUAACCUUGUUGAAUUUUGACAUGAGUCACCUGUUAAAUCUCACUAGCCAAAUCAGCUACCUCUCUUAAUCAAUAUACACACACAAAGCCUCUCUCAUCUUCACUCUUCCUACUAAAGCAAGUACCAAACCCAGCACUACUAUUUCCAUCAUUGCAAACUCUAUAUACCACAUGCCAUGGUUCAUUUCAAAACACAUCCCCUGGUCCAGAUUUAUUAGAAACAAGUUCCUCUUUAAUAUGAACAAAACCAAUGUGGUUCCAUCCUAGAAUGUGUACAAAUAUCUAUUCUUCUCCACCUCCAUAUUAUUAGUGUUGGGAAAAUAAAUAUUUCCACCCAGGAUAAUAUCCACACAAAAUAGUAAUAACAAGAAAGUAACAACGAUACCAAAAUUAUAAUGGGGUAAAUAAAAUACCCAAUAGAGUAAUACAAUAACACUGAUUACAAGUUGACAGUGUCAAAAAACUACUACUCUUUAUAAAUGAAACAACACUCUUUUAUUUCUCACAACUCACUACAAUAUUACUCCCACACUAUUAUCUCACAGACUAUAGAAUUUCUUUGGAUUACUCUCUUUUCUCUCUAUUGCUCUCUCAAUUUUGGUGUACCUAAAACUGAAAUAGAAAUCAUCUAUUUAAAGAUGAACAUCCCAAACUUUUCAUGUUGCGACACCAAUUUCUAACUUGAUCAUGUUGCAACACCAACUUCCAAAUUCAUGUCACCAUAUUAGACAUGUUGCUACACUAAUUUUUCUUGUUAUUUUUUAAAUUUAUUUUAAUUAUUUUGAUCCCACAAAUCUUUUCCUUAAUUUUGAUUUUUUUUCUUCAUUCCAAGACUUGACAUUUAGUUGAUGAAUUUUCCACUCUAUUUGUGCCGCCAAAGAGAUCAGCAGACGUAUCAUCUCCUUGUGGGCAACAGGUGCAUAGACUUCUUCAUAGUCAAUGCCAUGUCUUUGCUUGCAGCCUUUAUCUACGAGUCUUUCCUUGUAUCUCUCUACCUUUUCAUCAGCAUUCUUCUUUGCCUUGUAUACCCAUUUAACUCCAAUUGCUUGAUGAUCUUUAGGAAGAGUUGUUAACUCCGAAGUGUUGUUCUUUUUUAUUGACUGAAUUUCUUUCUCCAUGGCUUGUCUCCACCUUUUGUAUGUAAUAGAUUCAUCAAAAUUCAUUAGUUCGCUGUCAGCAUAGAGACAACACAAAAAAUUAAAAUUAGUAACUUAUUCUGUGUCAUCAUAGAGUUCUUGGUGCUCUUCAUCCUUUGUAGCCUUUCACUUGAACUCUGAUGUUGAAAAAAAGCAAAUGCAACAUUUGCCGGUAGGGUUAUAUCAUGUGCAAGUGCCAUGGUAUCUUGCUCUUCUUCAUCUAUAAAGUAUGGAAGAAAAUCAUAUGUUCUUUCUUUCUGAGCCUCCUGGCCUUCCUAAUUCCAUGAUGUUUUUCAUCAAAUUCAACAUCACGACUGACCAUUACUUUGUUUUCACUUGGAUUGUAUAACUUGUAUCCUUUUGAACUAGUGUCAUAGCCAAUAAAGAUAUACCUGAUGCUUCGAUCUUCAAUUUUAGCCUUCCGUUGAUGUGGAAAAUAAGCAUAGGCUAUGCUCCCAAAAAUUCUCAAGUUCUUGAAACUUGGAUUUCUUCCGCUCCAUGUGAUACCAGACAAACACCGAAACACCAAAAUUAGUCCAAAAAUAGUUCACAAAUUAGAAGAAAUCCAUGAGCCCUUUUGGAACUAGUUUCGGCCAACAGUUAAAACACAAAAAUACAAGAUAUAAUGGUGUAUUUAUACACCAAAACAGAAACAAUAUGUGAAGAACAAGAUGAACACAAAGGCACAAGAUUUGGACUUAACAAUAACAACAAAAACACAAGGUUACAACACAAACACCAAACAUAAUUACAAGAAAAGUAAAAAGAUAGAUAGAUAGACCACAUGAAGGUAUAAUCUUAAGAACCCAAGAAUGGACAAUCUUGGAACCUUAACACUACACACAACAAUAAACCUAUCUCUUACAAAGACACAAGAUCAGAAUCCACCUCCCAAGCAUUAAUGUUUCUAAGCAAAUGCAAACAACAAAAGAGAAUCCACCUUUUUGAUGUACCUAGUUACAAUUUCGGGUUUGGGUGCCUCAAAGGAGAGAAGACUUUAUGUUCCUCAUGUCUUACAAGACUGACAACAUACAAAAUAUGCCAAUGAAACCCUAGAAAUGUUUCUUAUAUAUUACAAUAGAAUUAGAAGCUAAAAUGACCAAAAGGGCUAUUCAAGAAUGGGCCUCCCUUCUAGUGUAUGUAGCGGGAUAUUUUGGUAUGUAUUUGGGACCUUAAUUACACUUCUCUUGCACACAUACUUGGACAACUUCAAUAUACACCCACAAGAGUCCAUCUAAGUUAACUCACUCAUAUCAUCCUCUCCAUCUUGAGAGGAAUUUGCCCACAAAUUCACCAUUUCACCUCGUUCAAUUGGUCACUUCAUAAGCGAUCACUCAAAACAGUCCGCAAAACAUGAAGAACCCUAGAGUUCAAUAAAACUUGGCACAUAUCAAGAACGACUCAAAAAAUAGUCCACCAACAAGGUGAACCCAAGAGCAACACAAACACAAUUCGAGGCUAACAUCUUCAUUUUGAACCUCGGUUUUCUCUCCAUCUUGAGUUUUAGCUUCAAUCUUAUCUGACUCAAGUAUCCCUCCAUCAUAUAAGUAUUUUUGUAGACUCCAUAUCCUUCAUGUCCCUCUCUACCAUGUUCCUCUUCUUGGAUGUGUAGGCUUUGGUAAAGCGGAGUUUCGAUUAAGAGGAUUGAUUUGGUAAAGUAGAUUGUUUUAGGAAUGUGGAGCUUCGGUUGUGGAGCUUGGAUGGGAAAAAAGUGGCUUACAAGUCCUUCUUGUUGGACUUGAUCAAAUAGCGGGGGAAGGGAUCUACCUUAAUCUCGGUUUUGUGGGUAAUUUGUAGCUUGGCUUAUGGCAUUUUGUGGUGAACUUGGAGGAUUGGCUUUUGUAGGUAAAGUUUCGGGAGUAAAAGCACGAGAGUUCCUUCGUCUCUCGAUUCGAUCCAACCUCUCACUCAUAGUUACCACAUCCGAGUGAAUGUUUGCAAGACCCACAUUUGCCCUAGCAAGGUCUCGGGACAAAGUAUCAAGGAGGGCCAAAAUGGUUUCUAUUAGGGCCAAAAGUUACCUACAAAAUAACAAACAAGUUAGUUGUACAAGAAUGGUCCUCACACUCCCUCUCUAUUGUUUUGUCUCUCGGAUUUUUCACACUUUGAUCUCACAAGUGUCGUAACCUCGCUUGUACUCCAUGGGGCAUUGAGAGGUGGACCAUGUAUCACAAUGAGUCAAAAGAAUAAGGCACGCAAAGGAACGUAUACACAAAGAAUGGUUUCAAAACUAACUUACAAUCUAGUACUAGCUUGUAAGUUAGUAAUGGAAUCAACAAACGAAACUAAAGAAACAAUAAAGUGAAACUAAGAAAUAUAAAAUUUGAGCCAAAAGGGUUACGUGAACAGUAAAAAUGAUGACAUGGCAGUCACGUAUUAGUUGUGGUUUCUCAAUUUUAUAUUUCAAUUUCAAGUCUUGGUCCCAUUGUAAUUUGGAAUUGGUUAGGGAUGGAAAUAAAAGUCCUUGGAGCUCUUUUUCAAUUCAAGUUUCAAGACUUUGACUUUCUUGUACUCCUCCUUAAAACAUGGACCAUUGUAUCAUGGAAAGUUGUUGGAAAAGGGUUGAUAAAGUCUUUGGUGGUUGGGGGUCUUUCAAGACUAACAAUUCUUCACCCUUUUUAUUCAACUUGUAAGAUCAACAACCACCUUUUCUUCAACAACAUAUAGAGAUGGUGAAGAACACCAAGAACACAAACUUUGAGUCUUGAAGUUCUAAGGUUCAAGUUGGACCCUCCAAAAAAAAAACACCACCACCUUUUCAAGCUUAAAAUCCACAACACAAUUCCUACAAUACACGUUCAAAACUUUAACUAAAAACAACAAUCCCAACAACAAUCAGCCACACUUUGGAUUCACAACAACAACAUUAACCUUUAAAGCUCAAACUUAGAUUUAGACUCCUUUAGUGUUAAGGAUGAAGAAUCUAACACUAAUAAAAAUAUAACACACAAAAAUUACUCUUAGAUAUAAGUUUACAAGACACAAAUCUCGACCAAGACACAACAAGACACAAUUUUCGGCCAAGAACACACAAGUGGACAGAUUACUAUUUUCUGGAAAUUUUAGUUUUCAGUCAGUUUUUUUUCAACUAAGAGAGCCCAAGAUUGGUAGUCUGAGAACACAAACAGCCUUCUCUAUGAUACCAAAUGAUACCAUACAAACAAAGGAACACCAAAAUCAGUUCAAAAACAGUCCACAAAUUAGAAGAAAUCCAUGAGCCCUUUUGGAACUAGUUUUGGCCAAUAACAAAAACACAAAAAUAAAAGAUAUAAUGGUGUAUUUAUACACCAAAAUAGAAACAAUAUGUGAAGAACAAGAUGAACACAAAGGCACAAGAUUCGGAUUUAACAAUAACAACAAGAACACAAGGUUACAACACAAACACCAAACACAAUUACAAGAAAAGUAAAAGGAUGGAUAGAUAGACCACAUGAAGGUAUAAUCUUAAGAACCAAGAAUGGAAAAUCUUGGACCCUUAACACUACGCACAACAAUAAACCUAUCUCUUACAAAGACACAAGAUCGGAAUCCACCUCCCAAGCAUCAAUGUUUCCAAGCAAAUGCAAACAACAAAAGAGAAUCCACCCUUUUGAUGUACCUAGUUACAAUUUCGGGUUUGAGUGCCUCAAAGGAGAGAGGACUUGAUGUUCUUUGUGUUUUACAAGACUUACAACAUACAAAAUCUGCCAAUGAAACCCUAGAAAUGUUUCUCUUAUAUUACAAUAGAAUUAUAAGUUAAAAUGACCAAAAGGGUCCUUCAAGAAUGGGCCUCAUCUCUAGUGUAUGUAGCGGGCUGUUUUGGUGUGUAUUUGGGCCCUUAAUUACACUUCUCUUGCACACACACUUGGACAACUUCAAUACACACCCACAUGAGUCCAUCUACGUGAUCGCACUCGUAUCACCAUGCUUCUUGAGUUGUUUGAUCUUUCACAUUUCUUGUUGGAUACCUACUGCUUAAAUAAACUGCACAUGAAACAUCCUCGGCCCAAAAUUCUUUUGGCAUAUUUUUAGCUUUCAAUAUACAUCUUGCCAUAUAAGAUUUGUUCUAUUUUUUCUUUUUGCAACUCUAUUUUGUUGGGGCGAGUAAGGUACCUUUAAAUUAUUUUGUAUGUACUUUUUAAAUUAUUUAUUGUAAACUAUAGCUAUAUUUUUUUUUAUAUUUAUUGAAUUAAGUUUUUAAUUGUAAGCUAUAGCAGUUUUUAAAAAAUAUUUUAAGAAAAUUCUAUUAUAGAUAUAUACUAGUCAAGUGUAUGUGCUUUACACGUGAGUCACGUUAAUUAAUACUAAUAAAGUUAUGAGAAGAAGCACGUGUCUCACAUUAAUUAAUUCUAAUAGAGCUAUGAUAAGAAAUUAAAAUAGUACAAAAUUAUACUUUAUAAACAUAACAUUAAAUUACUUUCGUAUUAAUCAAUACCAUGGCUUUUGACUAUAUUAGCAUUUGCAUAUCGUGUAUCUAAAUGAACACUUUUUAAUCGAUUAACUCAAAAAUCUAACCGUUAAGGACACACAUUGACAAGAAAUAUCUUAUUGAUUUGGUUAUAGAUUUAGUACAAUAGCAACAUACCCAGCAUAUACCCACCAAACGUUGGUUAUCGAUUUAAUAUGUUUAGAAAUUUAAAAUUAAUAAAACAAACAGAUAAUGCAUAAUACCGAACUAUAAAUCAACCAAUGGUGAAAUAUCUUAGAAAGGAGUAAAACUUGUGGCAACAAAAAAGAGAAUCAUCAUUCUCGUUAUAUAAAUUUAAAUUUCUAGGUAAGAUAAACAUUUGAUUUUUAAUGCUACUUCAUUCGGCAGCAAGAAGUUUGUCUUGUCCAAUUAAUACAGGAAAUUAUUAAAAGGAGAAAAGCCAUUGUCAAGUGCUAUUUUUGUAUAAUUCAUAUAUAAUAUUUAAAAUUAUCACUGGUGAUAAUGAAUGAAAGAAUACGACUUCAAUCAUAAUCAAAAUAAGAAGAAAAGUAUAGCAGAAGAACUAGCAGCUUUUCUUUGUUAAAGUUUGAUCAAAGCAUUAUUUAAAUAAAAUUGUAGAAUUUUCUUAUAUAUAUAAAAUAAAAUUGUAAUUGAUUUAGAAGUCCAAAACAUUUUCUUUAAAAAAUAAAUUAUCUAAAUAUAAUAGAUUUUUACUUUUAUUUCAUAAACUAUCUAUCAAUACUAAAAUAAUAUGGAUUCCAAUAUAAACUCAUAAUUUUUUUUAUCUUUUUGUUUACUUUUUUUUUUUUCAAGACGUUUUGCUUUUUUCUUUUUGAACUUUAUAUGUUAUCUUUUACUAUUUAAAUAAAUGACCCAAGAAAAAAAAAAAGUAAAACUAACUGUAUUUGAAAGGGAUACUUAUGAUUAGCCAUGUUUACAUAUAUUUACUUUUUUUAUUAAAAAGAUAUUACUUAUCAAAAAUAUAUAUUUACUUUUCGUAAACAAUGAAUAUAAAAGAUUUAGUACAUAUAAGCUCUAAAUAUUAGCGUCAUAAUUAAAUUUUUUAUUUUUAAAUGCUUGAAAUGUGUUCUAUACGUAUAUCUCAAGUCAAUCAAUAAAAGAACAUACAAAAAAUUAAAUUAUUAAAAAAUAUCAAUUAACUUUAAAAUAAAUAAAUUCAUGAAAAGACUCUAACUUUGGCUUAUAUACAAAGAAAAACAAAAAAAACAGAUAGUAAAAAAUAGGUAUAUCUAAAUUUUGAAUAAAAAACAUGCUUGUAAGUUGCAAAACAUCAUUUAUUAGAGAAAGUUAUUUUAAUUGACAAUUGAAACUAAAAUUACCUCUGUAAAGAGUGUUUGAUCAUAUUCUGUAUGUAUGAUAACAAU
rnacentral:lncRNA from 1 species